rnacentral:rRNA from 1 species
GCUUUUUUUGCUACAUCUGGUCGAUUAGCAUGCUAGUUGUACGAGUUGAGACUCGUAGCAGAUAGCUCAGUAACACGUGGCCAAACUACCCUAUAGAUCCAGACAACCUCGGGAAACUGAGGCUAAUCCGGAAUAGGGCUCUCAUCCUGGAGUGGAGAGAGCCUGAAACGCUCCGGCGCUAUAGGAUGUGGCUGCGGCCGAUUAGGUAGACGGUGGGGUAACGGCCCACCGUGCCAGUAAUCGGUACGGGUUGUGAGAGCAAGAGCCCGGAGACGGUAUCUGAGACAAGAUACCGGGCCCUACGGGGCGCAGCAGGCGCGAAACCUUUACACUGCACGCCAGUGCGAUAAGGGGACUCCAAGUGCGAGGGCAUAUAGUCCUCGCUUUUUGCGACCGUAAGGUGGUCGCGGAAUAAGUGCUGGGCAAGACCGGUGCCAGCCGCCGCGGUAAUACCGGCAGCACGAGUGAUGACCGCUGUUAUUGGGCCUAAAGCGUCCGUAGCUGGCCGCACAAGUCUAUCGGGAAAUCUCUCCGCUUAACGGAGAGGCGUCCGGUGGAAACUGUGUGGCUUGGGACCGGAAGACCAGAGGGGUACGUCUGGGGUAGGAGUGAAAUCCCGUAAUCCUGGACGGACCACCGGUGGCGAAAGCGCCUCUGGAAGACGGAUCCGACGGUGAGGGACGAAAGCUCGGGUCACGAACCGGAUUAGAUACCCGGGUAGUCCGAGCUGUAAACGAUGUCUGCUAGGUGUGACACAGGCUACGAGCCUGUGUUGUGCCGUAGGGAAGCCGUGAAGCAGACCGCCUGGGGAAGUACGUCCGCAAGGAUGAAACUUAAAGGAAUUGGCGGGGGAGCACUACAACCGGAGGAGCCUGCGGUUUAAUUGGACUCAACGCCGGACAUCUCACCAGCAUCGACAAUGUGCAGUGACGGUCAGUAUGAUGAGCUUACCUGAGCCAUUGAGAGGAGGUGCAUGGCCGCCGUCAGCUCGUACCGUGAGGCGUCCUGUUAAGUCAGGCAACGAGCGAGACCCGCACCCUUAAUUGCCAGCAGCACCCUUGUGGUGGCUGGGUACAUUAAGAGGACUGCCAGUGCCAAACUGGAGGAAGGAACGGGCAACGGUAGGUCAGUAUGCCCCGAAUGUGCUGGGCGACACGCGGGCUACAAUGGCCAAGACAGUGGGAUGCAACGCCGAAAGGCGACGCUAAUCUCCGAAACUUGGUCGUAGUUCGGAUUGAGGGCUGAAACUCGCCCUCAUGAAGCUGGAUUCGGUAGUAAUCGCGCCUCAGAAGGGCGCGGUGAAUACGUCCCUGCUCCUUGCACACACCGCCCGUCAAAGCACCCGAGUGGGGUCCGGAUGAGGCCCGGUUUCCGGGUCGAAUCUGGGCUCCGCAAGGGGGCUAAGUCGUAACAAGUGGGCAG